UAGCCGGGGAGAGUAGAACCCGGAGCAGGAUCCCAUCCGAGCGUGGACUGGCGGCAGGAUGUUCAGCUGGAUGGGGCGGCAGGCGGGCGGGCGCGAACGCGCUGGCGGCGCGGACGCGGUGCAGACGGUGACGGGCGGGCUGCGCUCGCUCUACCUGCGCAAGGUGCUGCCGCUGGAGGAGGCGUACCGCUUCCACGAGUUCCACUCGCCUGCGCUGGAGGACGCCGACUUCGAGAACAAGCCCAUGAUCCUGCUGGUGGGCCAGUACAGCACCGGCAAGACCACCUUCAUCAGAUACCUACUGGAGCAGGAUUUCCCAGGCAUGAGGAUUGGUCCGGAGCCCACCACAGACUCCUUCAUCGCCGUGAUGUAUGGAGAGACUGAGGGCAGCACCCCAGGGAAUGCUUUAGUCGUGGACCCCAAAAAGCCGUUUAGAAAGCUCAGUCGCUUUGGAAACGCUUUCCUGAAUCGAUUCAUGUGCUCACAGCUCCCCAAUCAGGUCCUGAAGAGCAUCAGCAUCAUCGACAGCCCCGGCAUCCUUUCUGGGGAGAAGCAGCGCAUCAGCCGAGGUCAGUGCCUGUCCCUGCCCCUCCCCACCAAGUGCUGGCUGAGGCCCUCUCUGCUGUGAGCAGAGGAUUUCUGUCCCUAUAUUAUUCUAUCCGUCCUCCAGGACAGCUGUUGGGCAGCUGAAGGGGCCCCAAGUGUCAACCAGGAGUUCAUAGCAUCAAAGACUCUGCCCCCUCCAGGGGCUUAUAUUCUGUGAGAAAGACAUUUGUCAAGUUACACAUGAGUAAAUGAAGAUGAGGAGUGGGGUAAACAAUGGGAGGUAUCGAGGUGUGAGGGGACCUGGCUUGGCCUCGGGGGUGUUGGGAGAGGCUCCUGGAGGAAGCAGCAUUGGAACUAGGAUCUGAAGGAGUAGGAAUUACCUAAGGGAAGCUGUGGGGUAGGGAGAGACUAUGAAGCAUUCAGAGGGGAUCUGUGAAGGAUAGAAAAUGCUUGUGCCGAAGCACAAGUUUCUCCAGCCUUCACAAGACAAGGAUGAGGCAAUAGCUGCUUCUAGGCCUGUGCUUUGUAGUCAAAACAGAUGGGUCUGCUGGGUAGAGUGGCUCACGCCUGUAAUCCCAGCACUUUAGGAGGCCGAGGCAGGUGGAUCAGCUGAGGUCAGGAGUUCGAGAACAGCCUGGCCAACAUGGUGAAACCCCAUCUCUACUAAAAAUACAAAAAUUAGCUGGGCAUGGUGGUGGGCACCUGUAGUCCCAGCUACUCGGAAGGCUGAGGCACGAGAGCUGAACCUGGGAGGCGGAGGUUGCGGAGAGCUGAGAUCAUGCCACGGCACUCCAGCCUGUGGGCAAAAGAGCGAAACUCCGUCUCAAAAAAAAAAAAAAAAAAAAAAAAACCGGUGGGCCUGCUGUCUCCCUCCGUCCCGGAGGAAGGGGGCAUCAGGGGCAGACCAGAGGACAGAGUUGACUUACGGAGAGGAAAUGCCUGAUCGGGAGGGUCAGGAUGGGUUCCUGCCAUCACAGGUCCAGAGGCAGCUCAAGUCUUUUCCUUGCCCUGGCCCUUGAAACAAAGGCGGGUUGCUGGGAGGGAGGAGAUGGAGCAGAUGCAUUGCUGCCAUCACUUCUGGCUGAGAACUCUUCACAACCCCUUGAACAGCAAGUCGGUAGCACCGUGCUGAGAAGUCUGGGCAUGCCAGGGUUGAGCAGAAGCCUGUGUGGGGUCACGGUCGCAGGUUAUGACAAGGCAGUGAACACCCCGCAGCUCACAAAGCAGAAGUGCAGUUACAUAGGCCAGUGAGGGUCCCGUGACAGGGGUCAAGAAAGGGAUUCCGAGGCCAAUAAGCCCUCCUUUCUCUUGGCAUUUUGGGAAUGCCACCUCUGCUGCUCCGUGGCCCCGCAGAGAGCUCGGGGCUAUGCUGAGCCGAGGCCUCCCAGGGUGCCUGCUGUGCCUUCACUGUUUCAGUCAGGGACUUGCCAGCUAUGGAAUGCCAUUAAGGUCACCUUUCCCGGGCCUCCAAGAACCUUGCAAUUAUG
rnacentral:sRNA from 1 species